CUACGGGUGGCUGCAGUGGGGAAUAUUGGACAAUGGGCGCAAGCCUGAUCCAGCAAUGCCGCGUGAGUGAAGACGGCCUUAGGGUUGUAAAACUCUUUCGCUAGGGAAGAUAAUGACUGUACCUAGUAAAGAAGUCCCGGCUAACUCCGUGCCAGCAGCCGCGGUAAUACGGAGGGGACUAGCGUUGUUCGGAAUUACUGGGCGUAAAGAGUUCGUAGGCGGACUGACAAGUUAGAGGUGAAAUCCCAGGGCUCAACCCUGGAACUGCCUUUAAAACUGUCAGUCUAGAGACCGGAAGAGGUUAGGGGAAUACCUAGUGUAGAGGUGAAAUUCGUAGAUAUUAGGUGGAACACCAGUGGCGAAGGCGCCUAACUGGUCCGGUACUGACGCUGAGGAACGAAAGCGUGGGGAGCAAACAGGAUUAGAUACCCGGUAGUC
rnacentral:rRNA from 1 species